UUAAUUUUGGUAAAACCAAUAAAAGCUUAAAGGUUCACCCAGGGCGAGGCUCGGCCAUUGCACUUCGGCUGUGCUGACCUUUGCGAAUUCCCCAAAUGCGGGAAUCUCGACUGCAUAAUUUCUGGUAGUGGGGGACUGCGUACGCGCUCUCCCCCG